GGGGGUAUAGCUCACUGGCAGAGUGCAUGCUUAGCAUGCACGAGGUCCUGGGUUCAAUCCCCAGUGCCUCCA
rfam:Camelus ferus unplaced genomic scaffold scaffold866, whole genome shotgun sequence.